CCUACGGGGGGCUGCAGUGGGGAAUAUUGCACAAUGGGGGAAACCCUGAUGCAGCAACGCCGCGUUAGUGAAGAAGUAUUUCGGUAUUUAAAGCUCUAUCAUCAGGGAAGAGAAUGACGUUCCCUGACUAAGAAUCCCCGGCUAACUCCUUUCCAGCAGCCGCGGUAAUACGUAGGGGGCGCGCGUUAUCCGGCUUUACUGGUUGUAAAGGGUGCGUAGACGGUUCUGUAAGUCUGAAGUGAAAGCCCGUGGCUUAACCGCGGAACGGCUUUGGAAACUGUGGAACUGGAGUGCUGGAGAGGAAAGCGGAAUGCCUAGUGUAGCGGUGAAAUGCGUAGAUAUUAGGAGGAAAACCAGUGGCGAAGGCGGCUUGCUGGACAGUAACUGACGUGGAGGCUCGAAAGCGUGGGGAGCAAACAGGAUUAGAUACCCGUGUAGGC
rnacentral:rRNA from 1 species